GGGGCAGCACAGGUAGCAAUACUGGGUGGCGACCGGCGCACGGGUGCGUAACGCGUAUGCAACCUACCUUUAACUGGGGCAUAGCCCGGAGAAAUCCGGAUUAAUAUCCCAUAAUAUUCAUUUUGGACAUCCUUUAUGAAUUAAAGCUUUUGCGGUUAAAGAUGGGCAUGCGUGGCAUUAGCUAGUUGGUGAGGUAACGGCUCACCAAGGCGACGAUGCCUAGGGGUUCUGAGAGGAUUAUCCCCCACACUGGUACUGAGACACGGACCAGACUCCUACGGGAGGCAGCAGUGAGGAAUAUUGGUCAAUGGACGAAAGUCUGAACCAGCCAUGCCGCGUGCAGGAUGAAGGCCCUAUGGGUUGUAAACUGCUUUUGUUUGGGAAGAAACUUCCGUACGUGUACGGGACUGACGGUACCAGGCGAAUAAGCAUCGGCUAACUCCGUGCCAGCAGCCGCGGUAAUACGGAGGAUGCAAGCGUUAUCCGGAUUUAUUGGGUUUAAAGGGUGCGUAGGCGGAAUAAUAAGUCAGUGGUGAAAUACCCCGGCUCAACCGGGGAACUGCCAUUGAUACUGUUAAUCUAGAGUACA
rnacentral:rRNA from 1 species